UCAAUGUCAUUGAUCUGUUUUGAAAUAUUCACAUUCAUCUGCUGAAUAGUGUCUCUCUCUUUCUGUAACUCGGUCAGGUUUGUCUCAUGCUUUAUUCUUUCUUCAUCAAUUUGAUUUUGUAGAUCUUCCUUGGCUUUUGUCAUUUCUUUUUUAGUUGUCUCCAGAUCAGCCUUCUCUUUAGAAACCAUUUCUUUCUCAAAUUCAGUUGCUUCUCUUUGCUUUUGGAUCUCAGCAAACAA